AUUCUAUGAAGGCUUGCUUCUUUCACUUUUAUUUAUCUUCAUCUUUUGAUUUUCAUUUUGAUUUAUCUAAUAAGGAAUUGUUUGAGUGUUGUGGUACUUUAGAUGGUGAACGAGAUUACCAUGACGCCCGUGAUGUCUCAAGAAUUGCAAAGCCACCAUAUUUUUGGGUCGCGGUGGAUGGAGCAUACAAAUUUGAUGAGAAAUGGCCACCGCCUAAGCCUCCACCUCGCUUGUGAGUACGAGACAAGUAGCCAUUUUCUUCUUCUUCGUCCAAAUUUAUUUCUCCUUUGUGUGAAAUAAGUUUGGGGGGAGGGUGAAGACGGGUUACUUAUCUCAUUUAUCCGUUGUUUAUUUAUUUUUAUUUUUUUUCUUGUUUAGUUACUUUAGUUUAGUUAUUUUACAAUAAUUAGUUUUGUCUAUGUUUUU
rnacentral:lncRNA from 1 species